rnacentral:rRNA from 1 species
UGGGGAAUAUUGGACAAUGGGCGCAAGCCUGAUCCAGCCAUGCCGCGUGGAUGAAGAAGGCCCUAGGGUUGUAAAAUCCUUUCGCUAGGGAAGAUAAUGACGGUACCUAGUAAAGAAGCCCCGGCUAAUUUCGUGCCAGCAGCCGCGGUAAUACGAAAGGGGCUAGCGUUGUUCGGAAUUACUGGGCGUAAAGCGCGCGUAGGCGGCCUGCCAAGUUAGGGGUGAAAUCCCGGAGCUCAACUCCGGAACUGCCUCUAAAACUGGUAAGCUUGAGGUUGUGAGAGGUGAGUGGAAUUCCGAGUGUAGAGGUGAAAUUCGUAGAUAUUCGGAAGAACACCAGUGGCGAAGGCGACUCACUGGCUCGGUACUGACGCUGAGGUGCGAAAGCGUGGGGAGCAAACAGGAUUAGAUACCCCCGUAGUCC